rnacentral:rRNA from 1 species
CCCUUAGAUGUUCUGGGCCGCACGCGCGCUACACUGAUGCAUUCAACGAGCACCCGCUGGGCCGAGAGGUCCGGCUAAUCUUUGAACGUGCUUCGUGCUAGGGAUUGAGGUUUGCAAUUAUCCUUCAUGAACGAGGAAUUCCCAGUAAGUGCAAGUCAUAAGCUUGCGCUGACUACGUCCCUGCCCUUUGUACACACCGCCCGUCGCUACUACCGAUUGAAUGAUUUAGUGAGGACUUCGGACUGGGACCGAUGCGGCUUUCGGGCUGCGUCGGUAUUCUGGAAAGAUGUCCAAACUGUAUCAUUUAGAGGAAGUAAAAGUCGUAACA